UACGUAGGGUGCAAGCGUUGUCCGGAAUUAUUGGGCGUAAAGAGCUCGUAGGCGGUUUGUCGCGUCUGCUGUGAAAAUCCAGGGCUUAACCCUGGACCUGCAGUGGGUACGGGCAGACUAGAGUGCGGUAGGGGAGACUGGAAUUCCUGGUGUAGCGGUGAAAUGCGCAGAUAUCAGGAGGAACACCGGUGGCGAAGGCGGGUCUCUGGGACGAUACUGACGCUGAGGAGCGAAAGCGUGGGGAGCGAACAGG
rnacentral:rRNA from 1 species